rnacentral:rRNA from 1 species
UGGGGAAUUUUGGACAAUGGGCGAAAGCCUGAUCCAGCCAUUCCGCGUGAGUGAAGAAGGCCUUCGGGUUGUAAAGCUCUUUCGCAAGGGAAGAAAACUUAUAUUCUAAUAAAGUAUGAGGAUGACGGUACCUUGAUAAGAAGCACCGGCUAACUACGUGCCAGCAGCCGCGGUAAUACGUAGGGUGCGAGCGUUAAUCGGAAUUACUGGGCGUAAAGCGUGCGCAGGCGGUUUUGAAAGUCAGAUGUGAAAUCCCCGAGCUCAACUUGGGAACUGCGUUUGAAACUCCAAAGCUAGAGUAUAGGAGAGGGGGGUAGAAUUCCACGUGUAGCAGUGAAAUGCGUAGAGAUGUGGAGGAAUACCAAUGGCGAAGGCAGCCCCCUGGCCUAAUACUGACGCUCAUGCACGAAAGCGUGGGGAGCAAACA